rnacentral:rRNA from 1 species
GACGGACGCUGGCGGCGUGCUUAACACAUGCAAGUCGAACGAUGAACUCGGAGCUUGCUCCGGUGGAUUAGUGGCGAACGGGUGAGUAACACGUGAGUAACCUGCCCUUGACUCUGGGAUAACUGCGGGAAACUGUAGCUAAUACCGGAUACGACCCUUCGCGGCAUCGCCAGGGGGUGGUAAUAAUUUCGGUCAAGGAUUGACUCGCGGCCUAUCAGCUAGUGGGUGAGGUAACGGCUUACCAAGGCGACGACGGGUAGCCGGCCUGAGAGGGUGACCGGCCACACUGGGACUGAGACACGGCCCAGACUCAUACGGGAGGCAGCAGUGGGAAUAUUGCACAAUGGGCGCAAGCCUGAUGCAGCAACGCCGCGUGAGGGAUGACGGCCUUCGGGUUGUAAACCUCUUUUAGUAGGGAAGAAGCGAAAGUGACGGUACCUGCAGAAAAAGCACCGGCUAACUACGUGCCAGCCGCCGCCGUAA